CCAGAAGUUUCAGAUUUUAGAGC
rnacentral:miRNA from 1 species